rnacentral:rRNA from 1 species
AACGAACGCUGGCGGCAGGCCUAACACAUGCAAGUCGAACGCUCCAGCAAUGGAGAGUGGCAGACGGGUGAGUAACGCGUGGGAACCUUCCCUAUGGUUCGGAAUAGCUCAGGGAAACUUGAGGUAAUACCGGAUAAGCCCUUCGGGGAAGAUUUAUCGCCAUUGGAUGGGCCCGCGUAGGAUUAGCUAGUUGGUGAGGUAACGGCUCACCAAGGCGACGAUCCUUAGCUGGUCGAGAGGAUGAUCAGCCACACUGGGACUGAGACACGGCCCAGACUCCUACGGGAGGCAGCAGUGGGGAAUCUUGCGCAAUGGGCGAAAGCCUGACGCAGCGACGCCGCGUGA